GUUUUAAAAGGGAUCAUCUGUGUCUUUUUAAAAGCUUACUGAAUUUUCCUGGUGUGAAUUAUUUGCACGUACUCAUUUUUGUGGUUGAUUUGGAUUUUACAGUGAUUAAGAUUUUACGGUACCUGCUCCACCGGGCCCAGAUCCUGCUUCCCAGAUCUUCCUGGGAAGCACAAAACCCCUUCCUGGCCAGCAGGCUGUCUCACUAAUCCUGAGAUAGAGAUCACUAUUGUUGAUCUUCGUACCACCUUGCCAGUGCCUACUUAGCAUCUGACAUCAGAAGCAUCCCAUCAAAACCUGGUGAACAAAUUGAAAGAUAGAUGAUUCAGGACUAGAGAAACACGGAGAGAGAGGGUUUUGCUUGCUCUGUUGCCCAGGCUGGAGUGCAGUGGUGCCAUCAUAGCUCACUGCAGCCUCGAACUCCUGAACUCAAGAAAAUCUCCUGCCUCAACCUUCCGAAUAGCUGGGAUUACAGGU
rnacentral:lncRNA from 10 species